rnacentral:lncRNA from 1 species
AUGAAUGAGUUCCUGGAUGCACACAGAUAUGCUGGACCACUUGGUGUAGCUGCAGAAAAAGCAACACCGAAACCACUGCAAGGAAAGAUGCUUAGCAGGCACCUGUGGCCGAACAAACAGAGUCUGUUCCCUCCCCAGGAGGCUGCUGCUGUGAUAAAGUGUCUCUUUAUCCAGCUGUCUUCUGCUAAUGAAGUGCACUUGUGUGAGGUUUUGAAGGUAGAAGAGAAAUGGAAUAUAUUCUUCUUCCCUGUGCAUCGAGGUUGGACAUGGAAGCUGUGAACUGAAGUUUGGCACUUGCCAUCAGCCUCUACAUGGAGUAAAACAGUCCCUGCAGCUGCCGACCCACAAGCCCCCUGAGCGGACCUCAGGGUGGAGGCCAGAGGGAGGCCCUCUGUGCUCUGGGGAUACUGGAAGAACAGGUCUUCAGAUGGUUAGACAUUUUUAGGAGAAGAUUUUAUGAGCCUGAUUCUUGCAUCUCCUCAUAUCUAGAAAAACACUAAAAUUCUUCAGUGAUGACUGAUGUUGGUGACUAGUAGUAACCCUCACGAGACCAGCAGCAAACUUCGACAAAACGUAUGCCUGGCUGCAUGCACCUCCCC